AUCGUUUCUCGGCCUUUUGGCUAAGAUCAAGUGUAGUAUCAGCUGCUCAUGCUAAAUCAGGCUGGGCUAUAGCUGACCAGGCUGUUUGCUGUUUGCUGCAAGGAGGCAAAUUGCUGGGAGGCAGAGGCAGAUUUUUUUUUCUUGUUUUUCUCCCCAAAAGCU
rnacentral:snRNA from 1 species